rnacentral:rRNA from 1 species
GGAUGUGAUCAUACCAGCACUAAAGCACCGGAUCCCAUCAGAACUCCGAAGUUAAGCGUGCUUGGGCGAGAGUAGUACUAGGAUGGGUGACCUCCAGGGAAGUCCUCGUGUUGCAUUCC